ensembl:snoRNA SNORA63 Small nucleolar RNA SNORA63
CAGCAGGAUUUAGACUACAAUAUAGCUGUUAAGUGCUAUUUUGUCAUCCUCCCUCCUCAAAGUAAAGCAGUUUCUUAUCUAUCUCUGUCUGCUAGUCUCUUGUAGCAGUUCAGGGACAUUUGGUCUCAUACAC